UACCAGUUACGCGCCAUUCAAGAGCAAGAGCGUGAAGUUGCCGCCUCGGAUGUCUCGGGUAUUCCGGAAAAGCAUGGUCCCCGCGUCGACUGCCUUCACUGGAAGCG
rnacentral:rRNA from 1 species